CUUGUCUCAGUUGCUUCUUCUCCAAACCCAAAGUUUGUGUCUUUUCAAGCUUGGUUUUGUUACUUUCCACCGUUAAUCUUCUGCACUGAACGCGGCAUGAUGGCCUGGUGCUUAUGCUUGAGCUCGGAGACACCUUAGCUGCUGGUAAUAAUCUGCUACUGCUCAGAUGGAGAUGAGGUUGCAGAGAAGAUACUUUCAUUUUGGGGAGAGACAUCAUCAUCAUCAUAGUCAUCUCACUUCUUCCUUGUAGUUAGUCUGAUUCUAUCUUUAUAUACUUAAGACUGUGUGGCUCUCCUGUACCUUAUCUUUGCGGAUAAAUCAUUUUUUUAUUUUAUUAUAAACUACAUAUUAUUACACAUAAAUCAAUAGAGCUCACACAUACAUUAUACAAGACAAGCCUUAAAGCUGAGCAAUCCCCUUCUUCACAAGCAUAUCAUAGACUCUGUCUACUUUGGUCGGAUCAAUCUUGAACAGGCUAUAAGCAUCUGACUUCUUUGUAACAUUCCCUUUGAAUAUCUCAUGUGACAUCACUUGCUGCAUCUGUAGAUAAACCGGUGGAACCAACUUGACCUCGCUGCAAAGACGCUUCUCCUGCCAAAAAAAAAUAGACAAACAACUCUCUUCUUUCAGUUACAGCAAUAAAAAAAGAAACUCUAUCUCACGCUUGUUCCAGGUCACUAGACAACUCACGGAUUCAGACAGCAGUUGCGACUCGUUGAACCCAAUCAUGUCCAAGUCGUUCACAUAGCUUGAAGAUGCUUGCACAGGACUGCUCUCUUUCCCUCUGUUCAUCCCUUCUUCGCUCUCUCGCUUCCUCUUCCUCCCUAGAUACCUCUCUGCUUCAGCCGUCGAACGACACCCUGCCAUUUGAGCUUCCUGCUCCGACCAGUCCAACACAAUCUAAGCAACCAAAACGCACAGUUUUGAGAGAGUAGCAAAUGUCCUCCUUACCUUGAGAUCUUUGAGCCGUUUCACCAUGCGGUACUCGCUGACAACACUAUUAAGUAGCUCUUGGUGCUCUUCUUUUGAAUGAAAGCGCAUGAAAACGUCUAAACGGCGGCUCUAUCAAGACCAUCGAGAUCGUCCAGCCACCCAAGCCGCCUCAGCCUCAGCCUCAGCCACAAGCUCAGCCUCCUCCACAAAAGCCUAAAGAUGCUCCCAAAGCCGCCGAGAAGCCUAAGGAGGGCGAGAAGCCUAAGCAGCCUGAAAAGCCCAAAGAGGCUGAAAAGCCGAAGGAAGCUGAGAAGCCUAAGCAAGCAGAGAAGCCCAAAGAAGCCGACAAACCCGCAGCGCCUAAACCCGCACCAGCUCCUGCACAGGCACAGGCACCUGCUCCUGCCCAAAAGCAGCCUGGACCGCCACCACAAGCGAUGCCGAUGAUGUCACAUGGGCAACCAGUAGCGAUGUGUUAUGGGCCAUACUAUGAUGGUUUUGGAGGUGGACCAGCGUUCAGUGGAUACGGAAUGCCGCCGCAGCCGCAACCGUACCAGAGUUAUGGCCGACCUGUGUAUGACAGCUGGGGAGGAGGACCACCACCUAGUUACCGACAAUGCAACCUCAACCGAUGCGAUUACUUCAGCGAAGAGAACCCACAAAGCUGCUCCAUCAUGUGAUAUUACGACUCAUCAUUUCCUUUAUUCCCUCUCUUUGAUACGAAUAAUGAAAAGAAUAUAUAGAGAGAUGUUUACGUGUAAUCUUGUGAUAGGGUCCAUAAGGAAGGAUCGUUGUAUUUUGAAGCUGUAACUGUAAACAUUAUAAGAAAACUGUUUCAUUUUCUUAAAUAUGAAUCAAGAAUAAUAGUAUUUCCCUUUUAUCAAUUAUAGUAUCUAUUUUCUGUGUUGUACCUUAUUCUUAUGAAGCUACUAGUUCUCAUGAAAGUAGAGAGCUGAUUAGGUCUGCUUCUCCUUAGUUCAUGGUUUUUUUCUUUAUUAUCCUCCUAACUUUAAUGAUGAAGGGGUGGCAAAUUUGACUUUUCGUCCUAGUAAGCAUGCUCUAUUGAUUUGUUGUUUCAUUUUACAAGUAAUAUUUAGAACUUCAGACAUUAUUCAUGUCAAACAAGAUAUGUUUUUCAAGUGCUGUUACAUUAGCUGACCGUACUAAAGAAAAAGAGUUAGUGGUCAUAUGAUGGUCCGCACGUUGGUCCAAGAGUUGAAUAUAUAAGUGUAGGAGUCAAGGCAUCGAUCACAAACCACAUCACUACACAAUAUGGGCAUUCACACAUUGCGCUGUAAGAGUGGAAAGAAAGUUAGAGAUGUCUUGUUGGAUGAGAAAGCAGCAGAGAAGGCCAAGAAUCCAUCUCGAGGGACAAGGCGGUGCAUAAAGAUCAUUCUAACAAGAAAGCAGCUCCAGCUGCUACUACUGAAUAGCGUAGAAGGUGUUUCCUUUAAGCUGCCAGAGACUUAUGGUAGCUGCAAGCGGAAAUGGAAGCCAUCUUUGCAGACAAUAGUAGAGGUCGAUAACUAAUGAUGUCCUAGUCUUCAUACUCAGUUUCUGUACAAGUUUGAAUCUCCAUGUAGCUUGCAGCAGAGUAAGCAGAAGUGAGAGAGUUUUGAUAACAACUUAGUCUAGUAGUUGGGUUUUCCCUUGUCGAUCGUGUGAUCUGUAAAGUGUUCAACUUGCAGUUCCUUUUAUGGGUUUGUUAUAUUGAAUUCUUUAAUGUUAAAUCAAUUACUUUUGUGUGGUAAUGACAAAGUUGAUGCCUUUCCAUUGGAAUAUGAUGAAAAGGAAGAAACUUUGCAAAGCGAUUCGAUUCUUGUUCCUUCAUUCUCUUAGUUUUUAAACAAAGUCUUUGUGUUUGGUAAUCAAGAUGAAGAAAAGAGACAAAACCCAUUCCUCGGGACAAAGGCAUCUCCAAUGUCUCAUCCAUCAAUCCUAAAAUGACGAUUAUGCCCCUUCACAUCCUCUAAACCAUGGGGGCUCUUCAUGUCAUUGUAGGUAGAGUAGUUAUGAAUCAUCGGUUAAACUAAUGGUAAACAUUAAAGAAAAGCACCUGAGAACUUGUGUUGAUCAACCAAGCUGACGUUAAAAACCAUCUCAAUCCCCCUUCCUCACAAGCUGCAUUCAUCAUAGUUCUUAGCUUCAACAUAUCUCCUAUCUCUCCCUCUCUCUCUCUGGAUCAACAAGAAAUGGAGAUUCAAGCAAGACUAAUGGAAUACAAGUUCCAUGUCAUGAUCACAAUAAUCGUCAUCGUGGUUCUGUCGUCCCUCGUGUACGCAGCACCAAGAAUCCUCGACAUAUUAGCUUACUUCUGGCCUCUGUUUGCGUCAACGGCCGCCUUCUUAGCCAUGGCAAUCACCUCCGGCGCCUUCCAACAACUCUCAGAUGAAGCUACCGGCGAGGGAAUCAUGGAUUACGUCGCCGGACGGCCUGAAGAUUUUCACUAGUACGAAUGAAAGACAUUACAAUGUACAAAGUUGGUCCCUUUAUGUCAAAUAAAAUGUCACUGACUCAUUGAUUGAUUGUGUAACAAAAUCAAAUAGAUUAUAAGACUAUGCAGAAACAGAGUAUCAAUGACCAUAACAGAGUAUUACUAAUGAAACAGAACAAACUCUCUAGUAUCCAUAAUCAUAAGCGAACUCGUUGACACCAACCAUAGCCGAGACCACUUGCGAGACGAUAUAGAAGCUUCCACCUAAGAUGAUCACAAUGAGAACGGCGGAGAUUGGGUUCUUGAGGAGUUCGAAAAUGGGCUCAAAGACAGCAGAGAGAGCUCCUGUGCUGACGGUGAGAGCGUAAAGACCGUACCUUCUCACGUUGUCCCAAAACUCUUCCAUCAAAGGACCUUCUGGUCCCAAAGCCAACGCCUUUUCUCCGUCCAUUCCCAUCACCAAAGCCACCAUCAACCCUACCGAGACACCAGUCACCAAAGCUUGUCUCAGUUGCUUCUUCUCCAAACCCAAAGUUUGUGUCUUUUCAAGCUUGGUUUUGUUACUUUCCACCGUUAAUCUUCUGCACUGAACGCGGCAUGAUGGCCUGGUGCUUAUGCUUGAGCUCGGAGACACCUUAGCUGCUGGUAAUAAUCUGCUACUGCUCAGAUGGAGAUGAGGUUGCAGAGAAGAUACUUUCAUUUUGGGGAGAGACAUCAUCAUCAUCAUAGUCAUCUCACUUCUUCCUUGUAGUUAGUCUGAUUCUAUCUUUAUAUACUUAAGACUGUGUGGCU
rnacentral:lncRNA from 1 species